AGCCAUGCAUGUCUAAGUACAAACUAUAUUAAAGUGAAACCGCGAAAGGCUCAUUAAAUCAGUUAUGGUUCCUUAGAUCGUACCACAAUUACUUGGAUAACUGUGGUAAUUCUAGAGCUAAUACAUGCAAACAGAGCUCUGACCGGAGACGGAAGGAGUGCUUUUAUUAGAUCAAAACCAAUCGGUGGCAAUAGCAUUUCGGUGUUAUUGUUCAUCGUAAAAUUUUUAAUGGUGAAUCUGAAUAACUUUAUGCUGAUCGCAUGGUCUUGUACCGGCGACGCAUCUUUCAAAUGUCUGCCUUAUCAACUGUCGAUGGUAGGAUCUGCGCCUACCAUGGUUGUAACGGGUAACGGGGAAUCAGGGUUCGAUUCCGGAGAGGGAGCCUGAGAAACGGCUACCACAUCCAAGGAAGGCAGCAGGCGCGCAAAUUACCCACUCCCGGCACGGGGAGGUAGUGACGAAAAAUAACGAUACGGGACUCAUCCGAGGCCCCGUAAUCGGAAUGAGUACACUUUAAAUCCUUUAACGAGGAUCUAUUGGAGGGCAAGUCUGGUGCCAGCAGCCGCGGUAAUUCCAGCUCCAAUAGCGUAUAUUAAAGUUGUUGCGGUUAAAAAGCUCGUAGUUGAAUUUGUGUCUUGCACUGUUGGUUCACCGCCCGCGGUGUUAACUGGCAUGUUUUGUGAGACGUCCUGCCGGUGGAUGUUCAGUAAGGGGUAUAUGAUUCUUUUUAUCAAAGACAUAUUGAAUCGAAAGAUUUCUUUGUGUAUUUGUAUUAAGUGGUCUAUACUUUUCUUACACAUCCGACAUUUUUAAAUGAAUUUCCUGUCGCGGUGCUCUUAAUUGAGUGUCGAGGCGGGCCGGCACGUUUACUUUGAACAAAUUAGAGUGCUCAAAGCAGGCUUAUAAAUGCCUGAAUAUAUAAUUGCAUGGAAUAAUGAAACAGGACCUUGGUUCUAUUUUGUUGGUUUUCGGAAUUCCAAGGUAAUGAUUAAUAGGGACAGAUGGGGGCAUUCGUAUUGCGACGUUAGAGGUGAAAUUCUUGGAUCGUCGCAAGACGGACUAAAGCGAAAGCAUUUGCCAAAGAUGUUUUCAUUAAUCAAGAACGAAAGUCAGAGGUUCGAAGGCGAUCAGAUACCGCCCUAGUUCUGACCAUAAACGAUGCCAGCUAGCGAUCCGCCAAAGUUCCUCCGAUGACUUGGCGGGCAGCUUCCGGGAAACCAAAGCUUUUGGGUUCCGGGGGAAGUAUGGUUGCAAAGCUGAAACUUAAAGGAAUUGACGGAAGGGCACCACCAGGAGUGGAGCCUGCGGCUUAAUUUGACUCAACACGGGAAACCUCACCAGGYCCAGACACUGGAAGGAUUGACAGAUUGAGAGCUCUUUCUUGAUUCAGUGGGUGGUGGUGCAUGGCCGUUCUUAGUUGGUGGAGCGAUUUGUCUGGUUAAUUCCGAUAACGAACGAGACUCUAGCCUACUAAAUAGACGUUACACUUACCAGUAUCUCGAAGGCUCACAUCUUUCGUUUCUUUUCGCUGCACAUUUACUUGGGGGUUUUUUUUAUUAUAGUGGAAAAAUAUCUGUAAAAGGGUAUUUGGAAACUAUUUAUAAUUUAAAUUUACCUGAGGGUGUGUAGUGGGGCGGAAGUAUGUGGUUUUUACUACUGGCGUACAUAUAUAUCUUCUUAGAGGGACAGGCGGCUUCUAGCCGCACGAGAUUGAGCAAUAACAGGUCUGUGAUGCCCUUAGAUGUUCUGGGCCGCACGCGCGCUACACUGAAGGAAUCAACGUGUCUUCCCUGGCCGAAAGGUCCGGGUAACCCGCUGAACCUCCUUCGUGCUAGGGAUUGGGGCUUGCAAUUAUUCCCCAUGAACGAGGAAUUCCCAGUAAGCGCGAGUCAUAAGCUCGCGUUGAUUACGUCCCUGCCCUUUGUACACACCGCCCGUCGCUACUACCGAUUGAAUGAUUUAGUGAGGUCUUCGGACUGGUACGCGGUGAUGUUUCGACAUUACCGAUGUCGCUGGGAAGAUGACCAAACUUGAUUAUUUAGAGGAAGUAAAAGUC
rnacentral:rRNA from 1 species